rnacentral:rRNA from 1 species
UUAGUAUUUAUACGAAGCUAUUUUAGUGGCGGACGGGUGAGUAACACGUGGGUAACCUGCCCUAUGGAGGGGGAUAACACAGAGAAAUUUGUGCUAAUACCGCAUAACAUAACGAUAUCGCAUGGUAUUGUUAUCAAAGAUUUAUUGCCAUAGGAUGGACCCGCGGCCCAUUAGCUAGUUGGUGAGGUAACGGCUCACCAAGGCGACGAUGGGUAGCCGAUCUGAGAGGAUGAACGGCCACAUUGGAACUGAGACACGGUCCAGACUCCUACGGGAGGCAGCAGUGGGGAAUAUUGCACAAUGGGGGAAACCCUGAUGCAGCAACGCCGCGUGAGUGACGAAGGCCUUCGGGUUGUAAAACUCUGUCUUAGCUGACGAUAAUGACGGUAAGCUAGGAGGAAGCCACGGCUAACUACGUGCCAGCAGCCGCGGUAAUACGUAGGUGGCGAGCGUUGUCCGGAUUUAUUGGGCGUAAAGCGCGUGUAGGCGGUUUCUUAAGUCUGAUGUGAAAGCCCUGGGCUCAACCCAGGAAGUGCAUUGGAUACUGGGAGACUUGAAUACGGGAGAGGGUAGUGGAAUUCCUAGUGUAGGAGUGAAAUCCGUAGAUAUUAGGAGGAACACCGGUGGCGAAGGCGGCUACCUGGACCGAUAUUGACGCUGAGACGCGAAAGCGUGGGGAGCAAACA